GGAGGUUGGGGGUGGGUCAAGCGGGAAGCCAGGAGGUGGGAGAGGAGGGAUUAGUCAAGGCUCCCUGUCUCCCUCUGAGACAGCGUACUACAGUUUUCUCUGACCUUCCUCUAGCUUCUGGCUGUUUCAGUUUCUUGGAGCACAACGUGCAACAGGGAAGCAUCAUUUCUGCCUCAAGACACACAGGAGGUGUAGAUAUAGGAUGUGCUCACGUUGGCCCUGCAGACGGUCUCACCCGGCAGUCACCGAGGACUGAGCAGAGCCAACCCCUCCAAAACCAGCCGGCACAGCCGUCCGGUCAGGCAGGGGCCAGACCGUCUCACCAGCAGCCCGCCUCUGCACGGUUAUCAAAUGCAUUGAGUCUCGGACCCUCAUGAAGGAAUAAAGCUCUCAUGGACUUGACAGCCAAUAGGUGGGGACAUCACUCACCACGGACAGAAGAAACAGCAAAAGGAAAGAGGCAAUGAGGUAGUCGUGGCUCAGAGUUAAGCCUUCGGGCUUCUGAUCAGGGUAGUCGUUCAGCACCCCCUUCAAACUAAUAUUAUUAAAGUUUUGUUUGACUUUUAUUCAGAGGGCAGGCUGAGCCCUGGGAGGAGAAGGGGAGACGAUUCCAGCUCGCAACCCCCCAAACCAACGCAGUGCGGUCUUAACGCCACUCUUCCUGGAAGGCAGGUUGGGAGGGGGGUCGUCACUACAGAGGCUCGCCUCGUUUGCUCCUCACCCAUCCCAUCCCUUCACCUCCAAAGAUGUUCAUCUAAGCAUUUCUUCCGACACAUUCAGCCGUACCCCUGAGAGCACUUCGCUAAACACAGUCGUGUCCAUGUCCUUACAUUUCUCGUGAUGUUUCGUCAUCUCCAAGGGUAGAGAGUGGAGCGUCUUCUCCUAAUUUAGUUCCUUGGGAAACUGAGGCAAGAGGCACAGAGAAACAGAGACGUGAUGGGAAGACGCCCUAUCAGAAAAGGAGCCUAUGGGCAACACUGCUUAAAAAAAUCAGCCAGAGCACUGCACACUGGUGGCCACCUUGACCACACACUCUGUUGGCCACAACCUCCUGCUGUCCCCUCCCUCCGCCCACUGAACCACAGCUGCACUCUUGUGGGCCUGUCCCACGAGAGUCAAUAAAAGUUGCCCUGGACACAGGGCUGCGGACCUUCUGCUGCUCCGGGAACACAAAAAAUCCACGGUAGUUCCCAGGGAAGAUGUCUUCACAGCAUUCCCACCACCCCACUCUCUUGGACAAAACCUGGAAGGGAGGAGCCUUGCUGGUCUCUGAAUAGGAACUCCAAGCCCAGGGCAGCCCCAGACCUCAGAUGACCCCAGCCAGAAUGGAAGUUCCUCAAGGGCACAAGCCAUGUGUGGCCGAUCUAGAACCUCCCUCAACGCCCGGCAAUGUUUGUGGUUGGUUGAGUAAGUGAAUAGGAGAGCAUCUUUCUGGCUUUUUCCUACUUCUGUUUUUUCUUUCCACACUUGCUUACAUCAUACCUUCUGGUCAACACCAGGCACUGCCCAAUGGCGUCCCAUGACUCUUCCCUAUGGCCCAUCAGCCCACACAUCGCCUGGUUGGCUGAAUUCCUGACAGCUUUCAUUUGUAAAGCCUCCCUGUGACGGGACAAAGAGGCCCAUGAGUCUGGAAAAUCCAGGAGAACAGAUCCCAAAGUAGAUUGUCUGAGAAGGCCCUUGGGAUGUGAGCCUUGGACCCAAACCCCAAAUCUAAGGUCCUUCACUGAAUCACCGUGACCAUGGGCCUCCCAGACUCUCCGCGUCCUCAUCUGUAAAACUGUAUCAAUGCCGAAAGCACAAAGACAGACUCUAUUCACACAAUGAAGAUACACAUGAGAUCAUGUGUGUAAAAGUACUUGCUUUGCCAGUGAUUCAGCCCCAAAUAGGAAUUACGACUGUAAUCAUCUCAUAAAGACAGAAAGCAUCAUUGUAUCAUAUGCACAAAUAAAAGAGUAGCGUGUAU
ensembl:lncRNA